rnacentral:tRNA from 1 species
GCAGUGCUGCUUCAGUGGUAGAAGUCCCACCUUCCAUGCGGGAGACCUGGGUUCAAUUCCCAGCCAGUGCA